rnacentral:rRNA from 1 species
CCCUGCACUUUGUCUAUAAGUCUAUUAUAGGUAAAGUGCAGGGAGCGGCGAACGGCUGAGUAACACGUUGGUAGCUACCCUAUACUCAGGGAUAACAUCUAGAAAUAGGUGCUAAUACCGGAUAGUCCCGAAAGGGUAAAGAUUUAUCGGUAUAGGAGGCGCCUGCGGUCUAUCAGUUUGUUGGUGAGGUAAUGGCUCACCAAGACUAUGACGGAUAACUGGUCUGAGAGGAUGACCAGCCAGGAUGGGACUGAGACACGGCCCAUACUCC